GAUGAACGCUGGCGGCGUGCCUAAUACAUGCAAGUCGAGCGAACAGACGAGGAGCUUGCUCCUCUGACGUUAGCGGCGGACGGGUGAGUAACACGUGGAUAACCUACCUAUAAGACUGGGAUAACUUCGGGAAACCGGAGCUAAUACCGGAUAAUAUAUUGAACCGCAUGGUUCAAUAGUGAAAGACGGUUUUGCUGUCACUUAUAGAUGGCUCCGCGCCGCAUUAGCUAGUUGGUAAGGUAACGGCUUACCAAGGCGACGAUGCGUAGCCGACCUGAGAGGGUGAACGGCCACACUGGAACUGAGACACGGUCGAGACUCCUACGGGGGGCAGCAGUAGGGAAUCUUCCGCAAUGGGCGAAAGCCUGACGGAGCAACGCCGCGUGAGUGAUGAAGGUCUUCGGAUCGUAAAACUCUGUUAUUAGGGAAGAACAAAUGUGUAAGUAACUAUGCACGUCUUGACGGUACCUAAUCAGAAAGCCACGGCUAACUACGUG
rnacentral:rRNA from 1 species